rnacentral:rRNA from 1 species
GUGCCAGCAGCCGCGGUGAUACGUAGGUGGCAAGCGUUGUCCGGAUUUAUUGGGCGUAAAGCGAGCGCAGGCGGUUUUUUAGGUCUGAUGUGAAAGCCUUCGGCUUAACCGGAGAAGUGCAUCGGAAACCGGGAGACUUGAGUGCAGAAGAGGACAGUGGAACUCCAUGUGUAGCGGUGAAAUGCGUAGAUAUAUGGAAGAACACCAGUGGCGAAGGCGGCUGUCUGGUCUGCAACUGACGCUGAGGCUCGAAAGCAUGGGUAGCGAACAGGAUUAGAUACCCUGGUAGUCCAUGCCGUAAACGAUGAGUGCUAAGUGUUGGAGGGUUUCCGCCCUUCAGUGCUGCAGCUAACGCAUUAAGCACUCCGCCUGGGGAGUACGACCGCAAGGUUGAAACUCAAAGGAAUUGACGGGGGCCCGCACAAGCGGUGGAGCAUGUGGUUUAAUUCGAUGCUACGCGAAGAACCUUACCAGGUCUUGACAUCUUCUGCUAACCUAAGAGAUUAGGCGUUCCCUUCGGGGACGGAAUGACAGGUGGUGCAUGGUUGUCGUCAGCUCGUGUCGUGAGAUGUUGGGUUAAGUCCCGCAACGAGCGCAACCCUUAUUGUCAGUUGCCAGCAUUCAGUUGGGCACUCUGGCGAGACUGCCGGUGACAAACCGGAGGAAGGUGGGGAUGACGUCAAAUCAUCAUGCCCCUUAUGACCUGGGCUACACACGUGCUACAAUGGACGGUACAACGAGUCGCGAAACCGCGAGGUCAAGCUAAUCUCUGAAAGCCGUUCUCAGUUCGGAUUGCAGGCUGCAACUCGCCUGCAUGAAGUUGGAAUCGCUAGUAAUCGUGGAUCAGCAUGCCACGGUGAAUACGUUCCCGGGCCUUGUACACACCGCCCGUCACACCAUGAGAGUUUGUAACACCCAAAGCCGGUGAGGUAACCUUCGGGGGCCAGCCGUCUAAGGUGGGACAGAUGAUUAGGGUG